GCAUGAUAUGAAGGAAGUGAAUUCGGCAGUGUGGAGCAUGGUGAAAAGGAAGAUGUAUAUCAACUCAGGCUAAUUCUGCUGGAAAUCAUUGUCUGUAAACCUAUUGAAGCGAGAAGUGAAUUCAAUACACUUAAACUUAAACUGCAGAGCAGUUAAUCAGAAAAUCCUGCAAAGCUAAGGUUCAAGAUGGAUGUUAUAUGGAAUUUGUAGUACACUGUCCAGGUUCAUAAGGAUCACAAGGAGAGUAUGAGCCAAGAAUGUCCAGCGAUGGUACUCUUAAAGCCAAGCAGAAGUCUAGCUACUGGAUUGUAUAGUUUGAUGUAAUACUUAAGAAGUAGCAGACAUGGACUGUAACAUGACAACAACAAAUUUAUAGGACAG